rnacentral:rRNA from 1 species
AUAGCGGAGGAAAAGAAACUAACAAGGAUUCCCCUAGUAACGGCGAAGUGAACCGGGAAAAGCUUCAAAUUUGAAAUCUGGCGUCCUCAGGGCGUCCGAGUUGUAAUCUAUAGAGGCGUUUUCCGUGCCGGACCGUGUCCAAGUCCCUUCGGAACAGGGUAUCAAAGAGGGUGACAAUCCCGUACUUGACACGACUACCGGUGCUCUGUGAUACGUCUUCUACGAGUCGAGUUGUUUGGGAAUGCAGCUCAAAAUGGGUGGUGAGUUCCAUCUAAAGCUAAAUAUUGGCGAGAGACCGAUAGCGAACAAGUACCGUGAGGGAAAGAUGAAAAGCACUUUGGAAAGAGAGUUAAACAGUACGUGAAAUUGUUGAAAGGGAAACGAUUGAAGUCAGUCGUGACCGAGAGGCUCAGCCGGCUCUGCCGGUGUAUUCCCCUCGGUCGGGUCAACAUCAGUUUUGUCCGGUGGAUAAGGGCGGUAGGAAGGUGGCACCCACGGGUGUGUUAUAGCCUGCCGUCGCAUACACUGGGUGAGACUGAGGAAUGCAGCUCGCCUUUAUGGCCGGGGUUCGCCCACGUCCGAGCUUAGGAUGUUGACAUAAGGAUCGUGACUUUAAACGACCCGUCUA